AAACGUAGGAGGCGAGCGUUAUCCGGAUUUACUGGGUGUAAAGCGCGUGCAGGCGGUUCAGCAAGUCGUGCGUGAAAGCGCCCGGCUCAACCGGGCGAGGUCGUGCGAAACUGCUGAACUAGAGGUAGGUAGAGGCGUGUGGAAUUCCGGGUGUAGUGGUGAAAUGCGUAGAGAUCCGGAGGAACACCAGUGGCGAAGGCGACACGCUGGGCCUGACCUGACGCUCAGACGCGAAAGCAUGGGGAGCGAACGGGAUUAGAAACCCCGGUAGUCCAUGCCGUAAACGAUGUGAACUAGGUGUAGCGGGUGUGAAAGCCGGCUGUGCCGAAGCCAACGUGAUAAGUUCACCACCUGGGGACUACGGCCGCAAGGUUAAA
rnacentral:rRNA from 1 species